UGGGGAAUAUUGCACAAUGGGCGCAAGCCUGAUGCAGCCAUGCCGCGUGUAUGAAGAAGGCCUUCGGGUUGUAAAGUACUUUCAGCGGGGUGGAAGGCGAUAAGGUUAAUAACCUUGUCGAUUGACGUUACCCGCAGAAGAAGCACCGGCUAACUCCGUGCCAGCAGCCGCGGUAAUACGGAGGGUGCAAGCGUUAAUCGGAAUUACUGGGCGUAAAGCGCACGCAGGCGGUCUGUCAAGUCGGAUGUGAAAUCCCCGGGCUCAACCUGGGAACUGCAUUCGAAACUGGCAGGCUAGAGUCUUGUAGAGGGGGGUAGAAUUCCAGGUGUAGCGGUGAAAUGCGUAGAGAUCUGGAGGAAUACCGGUGGCGAAGGCGGCCCCCUGGACAAAGACUGACGCUCAGGUGCGAAAGCGUGGGGAGCAAACA
rnacentral:rRNA from 1 species